rnacentral:rRNA from 1 species
CCCUUAGAUGUUCUGGGCUGCACGCGCGCUACACUGAAGCUAUCAACACGUUUUCCCUCCCUGAGAAGGGCGGGUAACCUUUUGAAUCAGCUUCGUGGUAGGGAUCGGGGCUUGCAAUUGUUCCCCGUGAACCAGGAAUUCCUAGUAGACGCGAGUCAUAAGCUCGCAUCGAUUAAGUCCCUGCCCUUUGUACACACCGUCCGUCGCUACUACCGAUUGAACGUUUUAGUGAGGCAUUUGGACCGACGCAUCUCAGUUUAACCGCUGGUUUGUGUUGGAAAGACUUCCAAACUUGAGCGUUUAGAGGAAGUAAAAGUCGUAACA